rnacentral:rRNA from 1 species
GUUAAGCGACUAAGCGUACACGGUGGAUGCCCUGGCAGUCAGAGGCGAUGAAGGACGUGCUAAUCUGCGAUAAGCGUCGGUGAGGUGAUAUGAACCGUUAUAACCGGCGAUUUCCGAAUGGGGAAACCCAGUGUGUUUCGACACACUAUCAUUAACUGAAUCCAUAGGUUAAUGAGGCGAACCGGGGGAACUGAAACAUCUAAGUACCCCGAGGAAAAGAAAUCAACCGAGAUUCCCCCAGUAGCGGCGAGCGAACGGGGAGGAGCCCAGAGCCUGAAUCAGUGUGUGUGUUAGUGGAAGCGUCUGGA